UACGUAGGGGGCAAGCGUUGUCCGGAAUCAUUGGGCGUAAAGAGCGUGUAGGCGGCCAGGUAGGUCUGCUGUGAAAACUCGAGGCUUAACCUCGAGCUGUCGGCGGAAACCAUCUGGCUAGAGUCCGGAAGAGGAGAGUGGAAUUCCUGGUGUAGCGGUGAAAUGCGCAGAUAUCAGGAAGAACACCGGUGGCGAAGGCGCCACUCUGGGCCGAAACUGACGCUGAGGAGCGAAAGCGUGGGUAGCAAACAGG
rnacentral:rRNA from 1 species